rnacentral:rRNA from 1 species
AACGAACGCUGGCGGCAGGCUUAACACAUGCAAGUCGAACGCCCCGCAAGGGGAGUGGCAGACGGGUGAGUAACGCGUGGGAAUCUACCCAUCUCUGCGGAAUAGCUCUGGGAGACUGGAAUUAAUACCGCAUACGCCCUACGGGGGAAAGAUUUAUCGGGGAUGGAUGAGCCCGCGUUGGAUUAGCUAGUUGGUGGGGUAAAGGCCUACCAAGGCGACGAUCCAUAGCUGGUCUGAGAGGAUGAUCAGCCACAUUGGGACUGAGACACGGCCCAAACUCCUACGGGAGGAAGCAGUGGGGAAGAUUGGAGAAUGGGCGCAAGCCUGAUCCAGCCAUGCCGCGUGAGUGAUGAAGGCCUUAGGGUUGUAAAGCUCUUUCACCGAUGAAGAUAAUGACGGUAGUCGGAGAAGAAGCCCCGGCUAACUUCGUGCCAGCCGCCGCAGUAA